rnacentral:tRNA from 2 species
UCCUGGCUAACUCAGUUGGUAGAGCACUCCACUGGGAAUGGAGAGACCUCUGGUUUGAUACCAGGACCAGGCG